rnacentral:rRNA from 1 species
CCUACGGGGGGCAGCAGUGAGGAAUAUUGGUCAAUGGCCGGAAGGCUGAACCAGCCAUGCCGCGUGAAGGUCAGUGCCCUAUGGGCGUUAAACUUCUUUUGUGCGGGAGCAAUAAUGGUCACGUGUGGCCAGACGAGAGUACCGUACGAAUAAGCAUCGGCUAACUCCGUCGCAGCAGCCGCGGUAAUACGGGGGAUGCAAGCGUUAUCCGGAUUUAUUGGGUUUAAAGGGUGCGUAGGCUGUGAGGUAAGUCAGCGGUGAAAUGCCCCGGCUCAACGGGGUGAAGUGCCAUUGAUACUGGCUGGCUGGAAUGCGGAUGCCGUGGGAGGAAUGUGUGGUGUAGCGGUGAAAUGCAUAGAUAUCACACAGAACACCGAUUGCGAAGGCAUCUCACGAGUCCGCGAUUGACGCUGAUGCACGAAAGCGUGGGUAUCAAACAGGAUUAGAUACCCGAGUAGUC